rnacentral:rRNA from 1 species
GACGAACGCUGGCGGCGUGCCUAAUACAUGCAAGUCGAGCGCAGGAAGUCAUCCGAACCCUUCGGGGGGACGUUGACGGAAUGAGCGGCGGACGGGUGAGUAACACGUAAAGAACCUGCCCUCAGGUCUGGGAUAACCACGAGAAAUCGGGGCUAAUACCGGAUGGGUCAUCGGACCGCAUGGUCCGAGGAUGAAAGGCGCUCCGGCGUCGCCUGGGGAUGGCUUUGCGGUGCAUUAGCUAGUUGGUGGGGUAAUGGCCCACCAAGGCGACGAUGCAUAGCCGACCUGAGAGGGUGAUCGGCCACACUGGGACUGAGACACGGCCCAGACUCCUACGGGAGGCAGCAGUAGGGAAUCUUCCACAAUGGACGAAAGUCUGAUGGAGCAACGCCGCGUGAACGAUGAAGGCCCUCGGGUCGUAAAGUUCUGUUGUAAGGGAAGAACAAGUGCCGCAGGCAAUGGCGGCACCUUGACGGUACCUUGCGAGAAAGCCACGGCUAACUACGCG